rnacentral:rRNA from 1 species
CCUACGGGAGGCAGCAGUGAGGAAUAUUGGUCAAUGGACGAGAGGCUGAACCAGCCAAGUAGCGUGAAGGAUGACUGCCCUAUGGGUUGUAAACUUCUUUUAUAUGGGAAUAAAAUGUUCCACGUGUGGGAUUUUGUAUGUACCAUAUGAAUAAGGAUCGGCUAACUCCGUGCCAGCAGCCGCGGUAAUACGGAGGAUCCGAGCGUUAUCCGGAUUUAUUGGGUUUAAAGGGUGCGUAGGUGGAUUGUUAAGUCAGUUGUGAAAGUUUGCGGCUCAACCGUAAAAUUGCAGUUGAAACUGGCAGUCUUGAGUACAGUAGAGGUGGGCGGAAUGCGUGGUGUAGCGGUGAAAUGCUUAGAUAUCACGCAGAACUCCGAUUGCGAAGGCAGCUCACUGGACUGCAACUGACACUGAGGUUCGAAAGUGUGGGUAUCAAACAGGAUUAGAUACCCGUGUAGUC